UACGUAGGGGGCAAGCGUUGUCCGGAAUCAUUGGGCGUAAAGAGCGUGUAGGCGGCUCGGUAAGUCCGCUGUGAAAGUCCAGGGCUCAACCCUGGAAUGCCGGUGGAAACUGUCGAGCUAGAGUCCGGAAGAGGCGAGUGGAAUUCCUGGUGUAGCGGUGAAAUGCGCAGAUAUCAGGAGGAACACCAAUGGCGAAGGCAGCUCGCUGGGACGGUACUGACGCUGAGACGCGAAAAGCGUGGGGAGCGAACAGG
rnacentral:rRNA from 1 species